AACGAACGCUGGCGGCGCGCCUAAUACAUGCAAGUCGAACGAGAAGCUGUAGCAAUACAGUUGUACAGUGGCGAACGGGUGAGGAAUACAUGGGUGACCUACCCUCGAGUGGGGAAUAACCAGCCGAAAGGUUGGCUAAUACCGCGUACGCUUCCCAGUCUACGGGUUGGGAAGGAAAGCGAUGCCGUGGGUAUCGCGCUCAAGGUUGGGCUCAUGUCCUAUCAGCUUGNGGUGGGGUAACGGCUCACCAAGGCAACGACGGGUAGCUGGUCUGAGAGGACGAUCAGCCACACUGGCACUGCGACACGGGCCAGACUCCUACGGGAGGCAGCAGUAAGGAAUAUUGCGCAAUGGGCGAAAGCCUGACGCAGCGACGCCGC
rnacentral:rRNA from 1 species